GACGAACGCUGCGGCGUGCCUAAUACAUGCAAGUAGAACGCACAGGAUGCACCGUAGUUUACUACACCGUAUUCUGUGAGUUGCGAACGGGUGAGUAACGCGUAGGUAACCUGCCUGGUAGCGGGGGAUAACUAUUGGAAACGAUAGCUAAUACCGCAUAAGAACAUUUACUGCAUGGUAGAUGUUUAAAAGGUGCAAAUGCAUCACUACCAGAUGGACCUGCGUUGUAUUAGCUAGUAGGUGAGGUAACGGCUCACCUAGGCGACGAUACAUAGCCGACCUGAGAGGGUGAUCGGCCACACUGGGACUGAGACACGGCCCAGACUCCUACGGGAGGCAGCAGUAGGGAAUCUUCGGCAAUGGGGGGAACCCUGACCGAGCAACGCCGCGUGAGUGAAGAAGGUUUUCGGAUCGUAAAGCUCUGUUGUUAAGGAAGAACGAGUGUGAGAAUGGAAAGUUCAUACUGUGACGGUACUUAACC
rnacentral:rRNA from 1 species